rnacentral:rRNA from 1 species
CAGCAGCCGCGGGAAUACGAAGGGGGCUAGCGUUGUUCGGAUUUACUGGGCGUAAAGCGCACGUAGGCGGAUCGAUCAGUCAGGGGUGAAAUCCCAGAGCUCAACUCUGGAACUGCCUUUGAUACUGUCGAUCUGGAGUAUGGAAGAGGUGAGUGGAAUUCCGAGUGUAGAGGUGAAAUUCGUAGAUAUUCGGAGGAACACCAGUGGCGAAGGCGGCUCACUGGUCCAUUACUGACGCUGAGGUGCUAAAGCGUGGGGAGCAAACAGGAUUAGAUACCCCUGUAGUCCCUGUCUCUUAUAC